rnacentral:lncRNA from 10 species
GUGUCCAACAGUAGCCACUGGGUGAGUCGGAACGGGUUGUGAAGGUGACCAUCUUCAUCCUUGGUGUGGGAGCCUCUGGCACCUGCGCCCUGGUGAAGUCCUCUCCCACACGGAGUCAGGAGAUAAGAAUGCACACCUUCCAAGUUUACACCAUCCAGGUCGUUCUCUCCCACACGGAAUCAGGAGGCGAAGCUGUUCAGAAGUACAGCGCAUCGCUGGAAGAUAAGGAAUGGAUCUUCUGUUGGCAGCAUGGAACUGGACCUGGAUGACAUCAACAUUUGCCAAUAAAUCAUUUGGACACAUUCUGUCUGCCUGGAGACAUUCUGGAAGCACAUGCAGGAGAGCCUUGUGUGCCAUCUGGCUGCAGUUGGGAAAGGCGAACCUCCCCCGUUUUUGAUACUCUUUUUGAACCUUCCCAGUCCACAGAACCCAGUUCCCACAUUUUGGGUGGCCAGAUUCUCCUCUUCUAUGAUGGGGAGGACUAAACGCCCUUCACCAACAUCCCUCUCAAAAAGCAUGGCCGGGAGACUUGCUUUCCUAUAUCCCUUUAAGAAUUUGGGGCUUGAUUUUCUCCACUCAGAGGAAGUUGUGAUUUAGAAAUUUCUGUCCCUCUGUGUCGAACACAUAAUUAAGAUGAUGGCCAAGAAAUCUGGUCCAAUUUUCCAAGUAAAAGCCUGGCCACCGAAUGCCCAGCUGUUGAUGAAGUUUCCAUUUCAGACAGAACUCUAGCCUUGCAAACAUUUGGCCCAUAAAAGAGUGGAUUUUCCCAUGGUCAAAUGAGUCACUGGGAAUAUUGACUCGUCUUUUAAAAAUCAGAGGUCACUUAAAAAAAUUGAGUUGAAAUGCAUGUAACAUAAAAUGAACGACUUUAAA